rnacentral:rRNA from 1 species
UGAAUUGACGGGGGCCCGCACAAGCGGUGGAGCAUGUGGUUUAAUUCGAUGCAACGCGAAGAACCUUACCUGGUCUUGACAUCCACGGAAGUUUUCAGAGAUGAGAAUGUGCCUUCGGGAACCGUGAGACAGGUGCUGCAUGGCUGUCGUCAGCUCGUGUUGUGAAAUGUUGGGUUAAGUCCCGCAACGAGCGCAACCCUUAUCCUUUGUUGCCAGCGGUCCGGCCGGGAACUCAAAGGAGACUGCCAGUGAUAAACUGGAGGAAGGUGGGGAUGACGUCAAGUCAUCAUGGCCCUUACGACCAGGGCUACACACGUGCUACAAUGGCGCAUACAAAGAGAAGCGACCUCGCGAGAGCAAGCGGACCUCAUAAAGUGCGUCGUAGUCCGGAUUGGAGUCUGCAACUCGACUCCAUGAAGUCGGAAUCGCUAGUAAUCGUGGAUCAGAAUGCCACGGUGAAUACGUUCCCGGGCCUUGUACACACCGCCCGUCACACCAUGGGAGUGGGUUGCAAAAGAAGUAGGUAGCUUAACCUUCGGGAGGGCGCUUACCACUUUGUGAUUCAUGACUGGGGUGAAGUCGUAACAAGGUAACCGUAGGGGAACCUGCGGUUGGA